GGAUGACUGGCCGCAGGCGGCCGGGCGGGCUGUAACCCGCCGCUGAACUAGCGCUUCUGUGUCCAGAGGCUUCGGCCUGGCCGCCGUCGCCUGUAAGCUACGAGGAGGAGAUUUACGACUUGGCCGGGCGCAGCAAAGGCCAGACUCUGCGCGAACAGGCGCUGCGCACCAACCGGCAGGCACCUGGCGGGCACCAUCGCACGGUGGCGCAGAAGCCCCUCAAUGGCCAGCGCCAGCUGCAGCCGCGGCCGCGCAGUCGUCCCACCUGAGCUUGGGCGAAUGUGGAUUGGGAAAGUCGACAUUAAUCAACUCAUUAUUCCUCAUAGAUUUGUAUUCUCCAGAGUAUCCAGGUCCUUCUCACAGAAUUAAAAAGACUGUACAGCUGGCAGCCUGUUAUCGAUUACAUUGAUAGUAAAUUUGAGGACUACCUAAAUGCAGAAUCAUGCGUGAACAGACAUCAGAUGCCUGAUAACAGGGUGCAGUGUUGUUCAUACUUCAUUGCUCCUUCAGGACAUGGAAUUGCUAAAGGACACAAGGAAAAUCACAGCAGCUUACUUUUUCCUCAACGGAUAUUUGGGCACCUUCACGAGUGUUAGAUACCAUGCUAGGUCCUGAGGAUACAGAUGAAUGAGACAAGGCCCUCACUGCGAAGAGUAUUUCAGUGAGAAGAUGGGAGAAACAAAUACAGAUGCUCUUCGACUUGGGACAGGGUUACAUUAACCCAUCACUUAAACCAUUGGAUAUUGAGUUUAUGAAGCGUUUGCAUGAAAAAGUGAGUAUCACCCCACUUAUUGCCAAAGCAGACACACUCACACCAGAGGAAUGCCAACAGUUUAAAAAACAGUUGAAAAUGGUGAACAUUGUUAUUUUACAAUUCUAAGAAAUAUGUUGAUAAGGUAACUUUUCCGGUCACACACAACAGACUGAUUUUCCUGUGGAAGACCUCACAGGAGUUCUCUUGAACCAGGAGACUAUUUUGAGCUGAAAUACCUGGAGCCCUCUCAAGCUAUUUGGGCCUUUCAAUUUGAAACCCAGGUUUGGAUGAUUCUAAGCUCUAUGGCAGAGACUGUAAUCAUUUUCUCUUCACCCUCAGGUUGGGGACUCACCCUCAGGGUUGGGAGUGACUGCUGUCUCUCCAGCCCCCACCAAUUACACCAUGUUCUGGUUGUUAAAAUCCAGUGUAUGCAUGAAAUGUAAUAAAAGUAUCUUCGCAGCACUAA
ensembl:lncRNA SEPTIN7P11 septin 7 pseudogene 11